AUGUACAAAUAUCCCACUCCCUCCACUCGGCCAGGCACCAGUACACGGCGGCACGCCAAAGCCCGCAUUAAUAUCUCUCCGUCCGUCCGUCGUCUUCUCGCCGCCCGGAAGAUGACGGCCCAGAACGGCCACGGCGACCUCGCAAGGAAGCCGGUAGUCGUCAUCUACGCGCCGCCGGGGAUGGCGGGCCACCUGGUCCCCACGGUGGAGCUCGGCAAGCUGCUCCUGGCGCAGGGCCUCCAGGUCACCGUCCUCCUCGGCGGGGGCGAUACGUCGUUCCUCGACGGCGUCGCCGCCGCCAACCUGGAGAUUUCCUUCCACUGCCUGCCCCCGGCCGCGCUCGCCCCCGACGUGGCCGCCGCCUGCAGCAGCAGCUUCGAGGCCAGGGUCUUCGAGCUCGCGCGCGCCUCCAACCCGGACCUGCGAGACUUCCUCCGCUCCGCCCGACCGGCCGCCCUCCUCAUCGACUUCUUCUGCAGCGCCGCGCUCGACGUCGGCGCCGAGCUCGGCGUGCCCACCUACUUCUUCCUCACCACCUGCGUCGCCAGCGUCGCCCUCUGUCUCUACCAGCCGGUCAUCCACGAGGGGACCACGCUGAGCUUCCGGGAGAUGGGCGGCGACCCCGUGCGCGCUCCGGGAUUGCCGCCGAUACCUGCAGAUCACCUCGCCGCGGCCGUCAUGGAUCGCGAGAGCCUGAGCAACAGGCACUUCUUGGAGCUGUCCCAAAGGAUAUGCGACUCACGGGGCGUCCUCGUCAACAGCUGCCGCUCCUUGGAGCCGCGCGCCGCCGACGCCAUCGUCUCCGGCCUGUGCACUCCGCCCGGGCUUCCAACGCCGCCGGUGUACUGCAUCGGGCCGCUGAUAAAGCCCGACGAGGAGACCGGGACGACGAAGCGCCACGAGUGCCUGGCGUGGCUCGACGGCCAGCCGGAGGCCAGCGUGGUCUUCCUCUGCUUCGGCAGCAUGGGCCGGUUCAGCGCGGAGCAGGUCAAGGAGAUGGCGUCGGGGCUGGAGGCGAGCGGGCAGCGGUUCCUGUGGGUCGUGCGGCGCCCGCCCCCGCCAGGCGCCGAGCGCCGGCCGCCGGCCGACGGCGACGACGACGGCCUCGACUUGGACGCGCUGUUCCCGGAGGGCUUCCUGAAGCGGACCAAGGACAGGGGCCUGGUGGUCACGUCCUGGGCGCCGCAGCGGCAGGUGCUGGCGCACGUCGCCGUCGGCGGCUUCGUGACGCACUGCGGCUGGAACUCGGUGCUGGAAGCCGUCGCUGCGGGCGUGCCCAUGCUGGCAUGGCCGCUGUACGCGGAGCAGCGCAUGAACAGAGUAUUCCUCGUCGAGGAGAUGCGGCUGGCCGUGCCCAUGGAAGGGUACGACAAGAAGAUGGUCGAGUCCAGCGAGGUGGCGGCGAAGGUGCGGUGGCUGAUCGAGUCGGACGGCGGGAGGGAGCUCCGGCAGCGGACGCGCGCGGCCAUGCGCCUGGCGGAGGAGGCGCUGGGCGACGACGGUGAGUCGAGGGCCGCGCUGGCGGAUCUAACGAGUCAGUGGAAGAAAAGCGCCGCCGCCGAGAGUUAA
rnacentral:rRNA from 1 species